ACGCUCGACACCUACGGGAGGCAGCAGUGGGGAAUAUUGCACAAUGGGGGAAACCCGUGAUGCAGCGACGCCGCGUGAGCGAAGAAGUAUUUCGGUAUGUAAAGCUCUAUCAGCAGGGAAGAUCAUGACGGUACCUGACUAAGAAGCUCCGGCUAAAUACGUACCAGCAGCCGCGGUAAUCUGAGCGGGCUGGCAAGGC
rnacentral:rRNA from 1 species